rnacentral:rRNA from 1 species
GGAGGGUGCAAGCGUUGUUCGGAAUUAUUGGGCGUAAAGAGCGUGUAGGCGGCUUGGCAAGUCGGUUGUGAAAGCCCGGGGCCCAACCCCGGAAUUGCAAUCGAAACUGCCGAGCUAGAGUCCCGGAGAGGAAGGCAGAAUUCCCGGUGUAGGGGUGAAAUCCGUGGAUAUCGGGAGGAAUACCAGCGGCGAAGGCGGCCUUCUGGACGGUGACUGACGCUGAGACGCGAAAGCGUGGGGAGCAAACAGGAUUAGAUACCCUGGGUAGUCCACGCCGUAAACGUUGAGUGCAAGGUGUCGCGGGUAUUGACCCCCUGCGGUGCCGUUGUUAACGCAUUAAGCACUCCGCCUGGGGAGUACGGUCGCAAGGCUA